rnacentral:rRNA from 1 species
UAGGGAAUCUUCGNNAAUGGGGGGAACCCUGACCGAGCAACGCCGCGUGAGUGAAGAAGGUUUUCGGAUCGUAAAGCUCUGUUGUUAAGGAAGAACGUGUGUGAGAGUGGAAAGUUCACACAGUGACGGUACUUAACCAGAAAGGGACGGCUAACUACGUGCCAGCAGCCGCGGUAAUACGUAGGUCCCGAGCGUUGUCCGGAUUUAUUGGGCGUAAAGCGAGCGCAGGCGGUUAGAUAAGUCUGAAGUGAAAGGCAGUGGCUCAACCAUUGUAGGCUUUGGAAACUGUUUAACUUGAGUGCAGAAGGGGAGAGUGGAAUUCCAUGUGUAGCGGUGAAAUGCGUAGAUAUAUGGAGGAACACCGGUGGCGAAAGCGGCUCUCUGGUCUGUAACUGACGCUGAGGCUCGAAAGCGUGGGGAGCGAACAGGAUUAGAUACCCUGGUAGUCCACGCCGUAAACGAUGAGUGCUAAGUGUUGGGAGGUUUCCGCCUCUCAGUGCUGCAGCUAACGCAUUAAGCACUCCGCCUGGGGAGUACGACCGCAAGGUUG